rnacentral:rRNA from 1 species
UCCGUAGGGUGAACCUGCGGAGGGAUCAUUACACAACAAAAUAUGAAGGCCUGGCUUCGCGGCCGGCUGAAAUAUUUUUUUCACCCAUGUCUUUUGCGCACUUGUUGUUUCCUGGGCGGGUUCGCCCGCCACCAGGACCAAACCAUAAACCUUUUUUUUAUGCAGUUGCAAUCAGCGUCAGUAAAAACAAUGUAAUUAUUACAACUUUCAACAACGGAUCUCUUGGUUCUGGCAUCGAUGAAGAACGCAGCGAAAUGCGAUACGUAGUGUGAAUUGCAGAAUUCAGUGAAUCAUCGAAUCUUUGAACGCACAUUGCGCCCUUUGGUAUUCCAAAGGGCAUGCCUGUUCGAGCGUCAUUUGUACCUUCAAGCUUUGCUUGGUGUUGGGCGUUUUUUGUCUCCCUCUUUCUGGGAGACUCGCCUUAAAACGAUUGGCAGCCGGCCUACUGGUUUCGGAGCGCAGCACAUAUUUUGCGCUUUGUAUCAGGAGAAAAGGACGGUAAUCCAUCAAGACUCUACAUUUUUAACUUUUGACCUCGGAUCAGGUAGGGAUACCCGCUGAACUUAAGCAUAUCAAUAAGCGGAGG